rnacentral:tRNA from 1 species
GCCCAUGUAGCUCAGUUGGUAGAGCGCAUCCUUGGUAAGGAUGAGGUCAGCAGUUCGACUCUGCUCAUGGGCUCCA